rnacentral:rRNA from 1 species
UACGUAGGGUGCAAGCGUUGUCCGGAAUUACUGGGCGUAAAGCGCGCGCAGGCGGCUAUCCAAGUCAGUGGUGAAAGCCCGGAGCUCAACUCCGGAACUGCCAUUGAAACUGUUUAGCUUGAGGAUGAGAGAGGUGAGUGGAAUUCCCAGUGUAGAGGUGAAAUUCGUAGAUAUUGGGAAGAACACCGGUGGCGAAGGCGGCUCACUGGCUCAUUACUGACGCUCAGGCGCGAUAGCGUGGGGAUCAAACAGG